AUGCCAACUUUCCCGAUUUGUGCGGGAUUCUCCCGAUUUGAAGCAGUUGAAAAGGCAAAUCCCGAUAUCCCGAUCGGGAUUGCAAAAAUACCCCGGAAUCCCGAUUUUCUAAAAAUAUCUCCCAUUUUACGACAACAAACCCCCAUUUCCAACCGGAAUUUGAAAUCCCGCGUCAUUUCUGAACUGGCCAAUCAGAAAUCGGGACAAUAGUCAGCCAUUGCUGUUUACCUGUGUCGCAUGGUAUCGGGGUGAUGUAAUUUACCUGGUCUGCCUGUGUCGGGGUGCUUAUUGGACAGUGCGAAGCAUGUUUUUAUAGUAUGGAUUUCAAAUUGACAUAUCCUUUACACAAACGUGAAUGACAACGAUAAUAGUGUCACCAUGCACCACCAAACAAUCGGACAUUCCCGAUUUUUUGCCUCUCGCUGACAGCAUCCAAAAUAUGCAAUAAGAUGUCAUGGGUGCAAAGGUUUUGUUCGCAAACUUCAUAGCAGGGCAGACUACUCCUUUUCUGGUUGCAAUGCAGAUUGUUCCACCAGACUCGGCAAGCCCAUGUUUACAGACAACCAAGAUUGCCUUUGUAGUCGUACCUAAAUGCAUGUGCUUCAAUUUAAAUUUUGAAAUAUAGACCAGCCAAUGUGUAUAUGGUGUAAAAGGAUGUAACUUUAAGUAUUAUUUGAUAUUUGUAUGUGACUUGUUGGAGAAGAUUUUUUGCUGAAUAGAUAAUUUUAAUAAAAUACUUAUGUAUAUCUUUCAAAGUGUUUUUUUUUUUUUAUAGUUUUGUUCAAGUCAAUGGUCAAACACACUUGGUGUUGUGUUAAUGUAUGAUGCAUGUAUAAUGAUUAGAUUGAUAUUUUAUUUGAAAAGACAAAUAUUUAUUUUCAUGGUAAAAUGUCGUGAAUUUUGAGCGUUGAAAAAAGGUCGUCGCGCGCAAAAUCCCCCAUGGGGAUUUUCAAAAGUUGGCAUGUAUGAAGAAGAUGUAAUUUAAGUGUUUUACACAUAAACACUAUAUAACAAGUUUGGCCUGCCCUGGGAUCAGAACCCCUUCCCAGGGAUCGAAAUUAACUUUUUUCACUACUAGUUUAGCUUGUGGAUUAUUUUCCAACUAGCAAAAUUGAGCUUUUACUAGCAUUUUUCAAACGAUUGCUGUUUUACAGGAAUUUAAGAAAACAAACAUAUAUCUAUAUCAAAAUAUAGGGAAAAUCUUUUAAAAUCUUCUUUAAAGUGCAAUAAUAAAAAUAAUUUUGAGGAUUCUUUCAUUUCAAUUUUAAUGAAUUAUCAGACAACAUACAUGUAUCAUUGGUGCAUGAUGAGGGUCAUAGGGUACACUUGUGCGGCGAACUCGCUGUGCAGAGAUCUACCACCUAUUUACAACAUCAUGUGGUUUGAAAUCUUGAAGACUGUCUGUGUCAAUUCAAACUAUAUCUUCAAAACUUUUGGAAAUUUCAUCUAAAAAAUUUUAGUUGAAAAAAAACCCCGAACUCUAAGUGUUUGACUACAGACUUCAGAAAGACACUGCGUGAAGCGGUGACACUAACACUUUCAUGUGUUGUUUCAUGUAAACACAGAUGAGAUCAACAUGCUUGCUAUUUAAAUCAGAUGUCUCUGAGACGCCCGAAGUGUGCAUGAAGUAGGUCAUCUUCGACAUCACUGACUGAGAUAUUUAUUCGAUCAACGUUUACUUUUCCAAUAUUUGUAUAUUCAUUCCAUAAAGCAUUUCUAUGCACAAGACAAAAUUAUUGUAAACUUCAAAGUGCAGCCAAUAAACCAAGGAAAUCCGGAAAAAAGAUCUUUUUUUUUUUUCACUCGCUAAAAGCUGCGAUCACUUGUGAUUUUUCACUCGCUAUGUCAAUUUUUAACUCGCAUUUAGCGAGUAUUUCCCCUUAAUUUCGUUGCCUGCCUUCCCCGGGGAUCAUGAAAUUUACAAUUUUGGUAGAGACCUUCCUGCUCUACAUCACUAUGCAUUUAGUUUUUCUUCCAUAUAUGUGGUUCUUGAGAAGAAGAUUUUUGAAAAUUGGACAAUUUUGGACAGUUUUUGCCCUGCCCCUAGGGCCCCAGGGGUGCUGGAGUCCUGAAAUUUACAAUUUAUGUUCCCCUUGUUCCAAAUAUGUUUCAUACCAAAUUUGAAAAGAAUUGGAAUGAUAGUUAUCAAGAAGAAGUUAAAAAUGUCUAUUGUUCAUACAUUUAAUAACUGACCAUUUUGGUCCCACCCUGAUACCAAAACCCCUACCCCUGGAAUAAUCAAAUUUACAAUUUUGGUAAAGGACUACCUGUUCUUCCUAAAUAUCUAUUUACUUUCAAUUUAGUAUCAAUAGCAUUAAAGAUGUAAUUUAAGUGUUUUACACAUAAACACUAUAUAACAAGUUUGGCCCUGCCCUGGGGUCAGAACCCCUACCCCAGGGAUCAUGAAAUUUACAAUUUUGGUAGAGGCCUUCCUGCUCUACAUCACUAUGCAUUUAAAUUUUCUUACAUGUUGUGGUUCUUGAGAAGAAGAUUUUUGAAAAUUGGUCAAUUUUGGGCAGUUUUUGCCCUGCACCUAGGGCCCCAGGGGUGCUGGAGUCCUGAAAUUUACAAUUUAUGUCCCCCUUGUCCCAAUGAUGCUAAAUACCAAAUUUGAAAAGAAUUGGACUGGUAGUUAUUAAGAAGAAGUUAAAAAUGUUCAAUUGUUAACGCACGACGGACAACGGCGGAUGAAAACCCAUUGCAAUUGGUCACCUGAGUAAACUCAAAAAGUGGAAAGUACAAAAAUCACAAAUCUGAACAAAACUCUUACACUUUUGUGUAUAACGAUAGCAAAUGUUAACAAGAGGCCCAUGGGCCACAUCGCUCAUCUGAGUCACCUUGGCCCAUAUCUGAAGACUUUCCAUAUAUAUUUGCAUGUAAAACCUUAGUCCCUAUUCUGGCCCCAACCUACCCCUGGGGGCCAUGAUUUUUUCAAACUUGAAUCUGCACUAUGUCAGAAAGCUUUCAUGUAAAUGUCAACUUCUUUGGCCCAAUGGUUUUUGAGCAGAUUUUUAAAGAUUUUCCCUAUAUAUUUGUAUGUAAAACUUUCAUUCCCUAGUGUGACUGCAACCUAAACCCGGGGGCCAUACUUUGAACAAACUUGAAUCUGCACUAUGUCAGAAAGCUUUCAUGUAAAUCUCAGCUUUUCUGGCUCAGUGGUUCUUGGGAAGAUUUUUAAAGAUUUCCCCUAUAUAUUUGUAUGCAAAACUUUGAUCCCCCUUGUGGCCACAUCCUACUCCCAGGGGCCAUGAUUUGAACAAACUUAAAUCUGCACUAUGUCAGAAAGCUUUCAUGUACAUAUCAGCUUUUCUGGCUCAGUGGUUCUUGAGAAGAACAUUUUUAAAGAUUUUCCCUGUAUGUCAAAGUUGACUCAUAGGUUAUCGUUAUCCAGAAAUAUGAAAAUGAAAGUAGAAAUCCAAUUGGUGACAAAAAAGGUAUUGCAGCUAUAUGCUUUGUGCUUUAAUGAAACUUAUCUCCAUUCCAAUGUUGUUUGUCAAUCCAAUGAGCCAAUUUCAAUCAGAUUGCUUUUGAGUCUAUGUAUCAUUAACAGAAUCAGAUUCUUAAGCAUUGAUUCAACCAUGACAAUGUAAUUACUACAUCUGGAAAGAGUUGAAAGCAUUUCUUACCAGAUCUUUGGCUGUCUGACUGACAUCAUCCCAUUCUGGGCUUCCAAAAGUGUAAUUUGCCUGCAUAAUCAUUCUUAACAUCUGCAUCUGUUUGCGAUGCCAGAAGGGUGGUGCACCACACAGUAAGGUGUACAUAAUGACACCACAGGCCCACAUGUCCACUUCCAUACGGUACCCUGGGACAUUAUCAUACAUAGAGACAGCUAGGACCUCUGGAGCAAGAUACCCUGGUGUUCCACAUAAUUCUGCAAAGGAAAUAUAUGUCUAUGUGCAAACUAAGUAAUGAAUCAGUCUUUCAGGGUCUUACUGACCAACUUUUGAAGAAUACGUUAAAUGUAAAAUUUUCAGCAUUCUGCUCAGGCUGUAAACACACAUAUAAAUCCCUGCAGAAGCUUCAAAAGCACAUCAUAAGCAAACUAUUUGUAAGCUAUUAAUGGGUAUGAAUACUGUCAUGAUUGUUGAAGAUUACACAAACUAGCACUCUCUUGGUAUUAAGGCUUAUGGAGUCAAACAGUUACAGAUCUAACAGCUGAUGACACAAAAAUCAUGAUUCACGGAGAUAAAUUAAUACAGUCCCUGAUACGUUCUUCAUUCCCACUUGAACGGUGAAUGAAUGCAGAGCGAACGAUUAACGCAAUUUGGUGAAUGGUGAGUGAAUGCAAAACGCGAACGGAGUGCAGAGUGAACAGUGAACACAAGAUGAUCUAUUCAUUUUGAGUGUUUUAGACUUUUCCUCUACGAUUGUAUUAUUUCAUAAUCAGUAAGAAAAAAGAUAUGUAUAGUAUAAUUUGUCCAAACCGGCCUCUGAGUACUACGGUGCUCUGUCAAUUCCAGCCACGAAAUAUAGUCCCUGACAUUUCUUUAACAAAUCCUUUAUUAAUAAUUCCCUGUACUCCGGAUACUGCGGACACCAUGUUUAUGAUGUUGUGACCUAGUACUAGCUACCCUAAACAUUAUGAACAGACAAAGAAUAGCCUUCAACAGGGACUCGAGGGAGUUCGUGGUGUUAUCCUGAAGAGACUCCCAACCAUUAAGUAAGUGAUUUACACACUAGUGUAUCUUGUAGGUUCUUUGACUUCAUGCCAGUCAUGAUCACUAAUAAUCAGAAAUUCCUCCGAUUCUUAUCCCUUUCACAUUUGUGUCUGAUGAUCUUCACUGCACACAACAUAUAAGGAAAGCAAGGGUAACAGUCAGAGGUAUCUUGAAUUAUGUAACUCAUGUGUCUUUUGUAAAGUAGGAUAAUGAAAUUUGCUAGUCUAUAUACGUCUAUUGUCGGACACUGAGACGAUUUUCAUUUGCUAUCCGGCACUUGAUAACCCGCGAUUUGCAUCAACUAGAUAUCUACUCGCUAGACACAGUAAUGCUAUUUCAUUUGUAACACCUCAUAGUUUACCACUCUUAUUAUGUACAAAGCAGGUCAAACUGAAAUAACUUAACGUUGGCAUUAUGGUUAAAACCAGCUCGAUCCGCUCCUUUAUUUUUAUGUUGUCGCUAUACGAGGAGCUGAUUUUAAUGAGAUUGGUCCGAAGAAACAGUAAGAGUUAUCAAUUGACAAGUAAAAAUUUAAGUUGAUAGCACAAGUGACCAGUGAUUAGAAAUAUUUAUUUACGGUCCUGUAAUUUGGUUAUAGGAAGGUCUAAAGACCAUAUGGUAUCCUUUAAUUAUUUACAAUUUCAUUUCUCUUUCAGAAUAUAAUUCAUGAUAGAUACAGAAUUUAUAUGGUGUGCAGACCACUGACCAGGCUGGUUUCAAUAUGCCAUUCUGAGAAUUACACUAUGCAGACCUGGAUGAAUGUUAUAUAGUUCCAAAAUGAGUUUACUCUGAAUGACACUUAAUUCAGUUCAUGCACAUUUUAGGUAAGUCCAAUGAGACUGCUAGGCCUAUAUGUAUUGUGGAUGAGAAUUCCAUGAUCCUGAUAUGUCUUAAAGGAGUAGGUACGGUUUUGACCAAAUUCUGCCCGGCAUUUAUGGAGGAAAAUUAUUUUGCGAUGCAGAUAUUUUCCUGUCAAAUUCCUAAAAGAGUAACUUAUAGUAACUCUCAAAAGCAUAUGGAAAUCAACUCAUCUACGCGCAUGCGUAGUACAUAAUCAAAUAAAGUAAGGGCUUUCAGGCUAUUUGUGGUGUUUUCAUGGUUUUUGUAUUGAUAAACUUGUGAAAUUGAACACCUCUUCCCUCGUCGCCCGGAAUAAUUUUUAUAUGGAUUAAAAAUUUACUAAAUAACUUACAAUUCUUCUUGGUUUCACCCCGGGCGACGAUGGAAGAGGGGUUAAAAUAUCAGUUGAAAGAUGCUAACAAAUUCGCCAUCGUGACGCAAUUUGCGUUGAUCGUGGUGGUUGAAGAGGAAACGAGAAUCAUCUGAGUAGUAAAUAUAUUUUCAAAUAAUAUAUGCUCAUAUAGUUAUUUAUUUAAACACUUUGACAUUUAUUAAAAUCAUCAUAAUAAUAAAAAUCUGGAUAAAUUUAAGCCUAUCUUACAGACCGGAUGCCAUUUUUGUUGUUAUGACUAUAGUGUAAACAGAACGGUGUAUCAUACUCAUAAUAUACCAACUGACGAUUCGUGAGAAUUCAUGUUACAUAUAACGAUGGACGAUUCUUUUAAUAAAUAAUAUAUUCCUUGAAGAUUCAAGCAUUAUUUUAUACCAUUCACAUUCAUUUGAUUAAAUGGGAAACGGCAUGCGGUAUAUUACAUGUAACAGCAGACGACAAUAUCCACCUAGGUACGUACGUACAUCAGUGAUGUCUUUAUGACAAAGAUUUUGGUUCAAUGUCACUAUUUUUAUUAUAUACUCAAAUUGGCAAUGAGCUAUUACAAGGAAAAGAAAUAAAACACAAUAUUGUUUCUUUCCAAAAAUAUACAACAUAUCAAAUACUCAGUCAACAAAGACAUUGUCAUGAAUAUUUUGGGAAAAAAUAAACACAAAUACAACAAUAGCAUACCCCAAUUGUAUGGCAGUGCCACACCCAAUUAAACCCGUCUCACCGGAACAAAGAGGUGGCCAUUAUGAAUAAUAAAGAAAAUUGUAUAAACUCAUUGUCGAAAUUACUAAAGAAAUAUUUCACUGCUAUAACGCAUUAGAAUUGUUAUAACUAUAAAUGAACGUUAGCAUAUUUAUGAAAUUAAUAAAAUGCUAAAUGUUACUAUAGUAGAAUUACAUGUAUUGAUACUGAUAAUAUUUAUCCAAAAUAAAAUAUCAAAAACAUUUUAUAAUUUGCUUACCAAUAUUUAAAAUGUGUUACCCCGAACUCUAUUCGAACACCCUGUGAACUGUGUGUAGGGCGGCGUCAGAAUGAAGAGCGUGCACAUAUAGUGAGCGAAUUAUAAAUAAGCCGACAAACCGGUUUUAAUAUUCCAAGUAAUCAAAUAUAAUUUAUAAAUUUCUUAAUUACCUGGACUAUUGUUAUAAACACAAAAUACUAAUAUUAAAUUGUAUCUGAAACUUAAAUACAUUAUUUUGCAUAUUUUUUAAUCUCAAAGAAAAUGAUUCGCAAGGACAGAACUUUUUAAAUAACUCUCAAUCAAUUACAGCGCGCAGUUCGUGAUAAAAUUCUGCAAUACGAUUUAUGCGUCACAUAUUUAGUGCGAGUGUAACAUUUUAUAUUUUUCAAAGACAACAAUUUAUUUGUUAGAAAGUUUACGAUGGUUAUUCACGAAUAUAAAAUUUUAGCACACUAUCUAUAAUUAUACAUCGCCGCGGUGCCCGAGCGGUUAGAGCGUUCACCCCGCAUGCGGAAGGCCCGGGGUUCGAAUCCCGGCCGCCACAGACCUAAGUCGUUAAAACAGGUAGUGACAGUUCCAUCGUCAAACGCUCUGCAUUAGAUGUGAAUGUCACAGGUCCUCGGAGAUGACCUUAAAAACGAAUGACCGGUGUCAAAAUAUGGCACUGGAGGUCUUCAGUGUUCUACUAUAUCUGCAAUGGUUACAAAACUAUUUCGUUGUUUGGGGAACACUAAUUCACUUUCAUUUUUGAAAACACAAUACAAAAGAAAAAAAGUUUGUGUAGCUAAGAUAGGGAUUAAUAUACAUUUCUUGCAAGGCACUUUCUACUUGCAUUAGUCCUAGAAGGAAUAUAUGUUACUCAUUAAAAUUAUUUUUAAAUGGUAUGAUUGAGGUGCCUGAAAGAUAAUUUGCUUCAAAUGUGUUACUCGUAUUACGAUUAUGUAUUUUAAUUUACAAUGAUUGAAAUAGAUUAUGGGCGCAUAGAUCGUUUUUCAAAAAAAAAAAGGGGGGGGGGGUUGACUUCUCGAAAACAUUGACAAACACAAAAAUAGGGAUUUUGGUAUCAUUGGAGUGGGUUGAUUACAUGUAUCCAAUGUAUCACUUACAAUUACAUUUCAUCUAUCUUUAUCUACUACUAUAAAAUACAGUCUGGGGGAGGGGGUUUACACAAAGCGAAUACACAACAUAUGGAUAUAUACAAAUAUAAUAUUGAGACUCGCGAAUGAUUUUUGUAUUUUUCAACUUUUAAGAGGGUUUCUUUGGGCAAAAGUGGAUACAAUGACACUAAAUUGCACAAACCAAGUGUUGGGGUGUACCAGCUUUGUAUCGCUCAGUUGUACAGUACCGAACACAUUGACGAUUUUUUUGUGGAGAAGCCUGAUAGUGGAGAGUGUGUGUGAAUAUGUGUAUGAGAGACGGUCUGUUUGAGACAUGGUAUAUUAUGAGAGAGAGAGAGAGAGAGAGAGAGAGAGAGAGAGAGAGUAUUUUGACUUAAAAAGUUUUUCAUGUUUUGUUAGUUUAUUUUACGUCCUUUCGAGAACUUUUCACUCAAAUUGAGAAAUGAUAAUAACAAUAAUGAUUAAUAAUAAUGAUUGGUUUUAUAUAGCGCCUUUUCCAGCGUAUGCUGCUCAAAGCGCUUUACAAUAAUCAAUGUACAUUAUUACCCCGGCAGACCUUAUAUCAAUCUAGAACUUUCUCAGCCUCCUAGGAAGCAUACAGUGCAAGCUGCCAUUACAAGCGCUAGAGCACUAACAUUCUAACAAUAUCUUUCACUGUCUAUAGCCAGGUACCCCUUUACACUUGGGUGGAGUGAGGAAAUCCAUGUAAAGUGCCUUUCUCAAGGACACAACGUCAGCCCUGCCGCGGCCAGGACUCGAACCCAUGACCUUUCGGUCAAGAGUUUGACGGCCUAACCACUCGGCCACCGACGCCAAAAAAAUCAUCAGCUGUAUGUGAAGUACCACAUAUAAAACCUAUGCUUAGCACUUAAGGCUAUAGCAUUGAUUUUUUUUUAACGUGCCAACACCUGUUGUGACACAGGACCUCCUUUUUUAAGGUCACGAAAAACUGAAGAUAUUGAAUAGUGAUGAAUUCGAAUUUGCGUAAUUUCUAUCAAGAAUACAAAAUAAAGAGUAGGGCAAACACGGACCCCUGGACACAGCCGAGGUGGCAUCAGGUGCCUAUCUGAAAGACCCAUGAUUCUCACUUUUGUCGAAGAGCAUAUGUAUAUCUACGUCUCAGGUUCGACGUGGCAUGUCAUGAGCGGGGUUCGAACACACUAUACCUCCCGGUUACGAAGCGAAUUCCCUACCACUGAUAACCGUAACCGUUUCAUAAUUAUCUUCCCUUUGAAGUUGUGUUUCUAGUUUCUCAGAAACACUGCGUUUUUUCCUGAGUAUACCUAUGAAAUGACAUUUUGCUCCAACUUAAUACCACGCAUAUAAUAUUGAGAAUAUACAUAUAUGGAAUAUUGCGUAUGCCAAUUAAAAACAAAUGCCGAUGAAUUCUAUUGUGUUCCGAUUCAUGAAGAAUUACAUUGGUGAUAACCCAAACUUCGCAUAAAAUUCAGUGAUUUGAAUUUGAGCUGCCUUUGAUGUCAUCAUUUUUUUUUUCCGAAUGCACGCGAGACUCUAACAAAUAUUUUUAAAAAUCUUAAAAUUCGCCACAAUAAAGGAAGUUGGAGGCAGAAAUAAGAGAUCACUGUUACCAGUAUAUAAAUGUUUCUUUAAUUAAUUUGGUGUUCAAACCAUUAUAUUUCUGCACCAGAAAAGCUUUCCGCGAAUACCUGCAGUUUUUGCCCCUGUGCGGCAUAUCUGAUGUGGUUUCAAUUUUCAUUUAAUAUCCAUUCAAAUCAGUACAAAAACCAAUAAUUUCGCAUUUACUAAGAAUUAAUACUUCUAUGUGUGAUACAGUUUUUAUUUUCCUACUCAAAACAUCGCUUGGGGAGAACUCUCGUAUAUUACGUCAAAAUUAACGUCAAAUUUGGUGACGUCGUCAGGUUAAUAUAAAGUUUUCCGUUGAAAAUAUUACAGCUGCUAUGGUAGAUAAAGAAUAACAAUGGCCAUUUUCAUAACUGGCACAUUAUCAAAUACCAGAUUUAGUAUUUUGGUGAAUUUCCUUGACGGCAGAUUUUGGCUAAAAUCGUACCUUGUUCUUUGUCUGACAGCAAGUCAAAUUGGGAUGAAUUUAAUUCCACAAUCAGUUUCAAAUCACUGAUUUAAUUUGAACAGAUCAUACAAACUGUUUCUAUUAAUUUUGAAUUGAUAUAUAACAUGCCCACAAAAUAAUUGCAUUAUUAUUUUUUUUUUUAGAAUGUACAUCAUCAAUGUUCUCCCAAGGGAAAGUGAGCAAAAACUUAUCCAGACAAUCAACAGCAUAUUUUUGUGAAACUUAUUAAAAUGUGCAGGUAAUAUUGCUGUUAAAAUAUUUUGUAUCCUAUGACUGAUAUAACUUUAACCUUAGUUAUAACUUUUCAACUAAAAUGGGUAGGGAUUUUAUAUUUACCAUUUUUAUUCUUUGUGACAAGAAAAAAUUGUUUUAAUAUAUAUAUAAAAAAGUACUGCAUUAAUGACCUUUUGACCUACUAAGGCUUUCUGAUGGUACCAAAAUUUGAUCUUCUGAACUUGACAUGAAUUUUGACCGACUUGUCUGAAAAGCGUUAAGUUUGGGGGCAUCCAUGGUUCACCAUGUUCACAUUCAUGUCUUGUUGCUGUUCAGACUAUGAAAAGAUGUUGCUGUUAAGAAUGAUUACCAUAGCACAACCAUUUAAUGCAAUAUUAGAUAAGUUCAAAUAUUUUCAUUGCAAUCUUGGUAUUGUAUUGCGUGUGUUAAUCAUUUAUGAUGAAAAUGUUUUAUUUUAAUUUCUUCAUUUAUGCACUUAUUUACAUGUAUUUGUUAGAUUUUAAUCGAAUUAAUCUAAGAGAAUAUAAUAUAUCAGUAUAUUUUUAAAAUUUAGAAGGUUAAAAGAGACGAAACAGGUGUAAAAUAAAGAUAAUUUAGAGCGUCAAGUCAACUGAAUUAAAGACAAAGAAGAGUACGUGCAGUAAACUACAUUUGUAUUGUGAUUUCGUUUGAUUAUAUUUCAUCAAAUGGUUUUUUUUUAAUUAUUUGCAGGAGAAAUAGGAUUACGAAGAAGAGAAGUUUGUCAUAAUUUUUUAUAGCAUGAAUUAAAUACAAUUUCUCAUAUAUUAAGAUUCUUCAUUUUUUCAGGACAAUAAUUGGUAAUAUUCAUGAAAACUAGCAGAGCUCCAAUACAUUUGAAGUGUUAGUCAAGUAUACUUUAGGAGAAGCAAGCAAAGUCUGGAAAAUGUCCUAAAUGGUAUCCGAAAAGUGCCUAAAAUGGUACCCAGAGUGUGCCUAAAAUGGUACUUAUGCUGUACCCGGAAAGUACCUAAAAUGUACCCAGUUUGUACCCAAAAUGGCACCAGGUUUGUACCUAAAAUUGUACCCUUAAAGUACCUAUAAUGUACCCAGUUUGUACCUAAAAACUGUCUAAAUUGGUAACCAGAUUUUACCAAUAAUGUACCUGCAUGAAUAGUACCGGAAUUGUACCUAAAAUGUACCUGAAAAGUUUCUGAAAUGGUACCCGGAUUGUACCUGAAAAGUACCUAAAAUGUACCCGAAUUGUAUCAAUAAUGUACCCUGAAAAUGUAUCAAAGAAAUGUACCCCAAAAUGGGAACAACAAUGUUGACAAAAUUGUACCUAAAAGGUACCCCAAAAAUAGAAACUUUCAAAGUUGAAAUAAUAAUGUACCCAAAAGGUACCCCAAAAAUUAAAACCUGAAAAAGUUGUAUGGGAAAGAAAAAUGUACCCAAAAAAGUACCCGCUUGCAGGUAAAAAAAAAAUUAAAGUGCGGUUCCAAAUAGGGUAGUGUUUCGGGUAUCUUUUAAAUACAUUCCGGAUACCUUUUGGGCAUGAUUCCGGGUACUUUUACCGGUACCCAAUGUGUACCCCAAAAGUACUUAAAGUGUACUCCAAACAUUAUCGCAAUUCACCUUUGAAUUAGAACGCUUUGGCCGAUAUAGUAUUGCGUUGUGUGAUAACACAAUUGAAUCUGUUUGUAAUACAAUUGCUAAAUGCAACAGAAACUCUCAUUGGUCCAUAUGUAUAAGUCCGCCCAAAUUCCCUUAUACGGCAUUUGAAAACAUGACGGCCAGAUGGAAACAAACUUCAAAGGAAGAAAGAGAAAAAGUUGUAUUCUUGUGUUGUUGUCUCAAAAAUUUAAUAUCAAAAAAUUCCUAACAUAUUUUCCUACUAUACUUAAUUGUGUCCAAAUAUACCUUCAAAUAUUUAUUAAAGCCCCAUACGACCCAAAAACUCACAGCUUUUGAUGAUUUCGUUCGUUGACGUAGCCAUGUAAGGUAACCACUCAAUUCGAAUCCCGGUUCAUUUCCAUAUCGCACAAUAGCGUCUAGAUGUAAACCAAUACCCCACAAAUAUUUCAGCUAAAUAUUUUAAAUAAUAUAUCAUCCCAGUUCCAUUAAAUGAUAAUUAUUCAAAUAGCUAAACUCACGGCAAUGCAGCUUUCAUUAGUCUGGGCAGGUCUCCAUCUCUGCCACACGAGUGUUAAGGACCAUAAUGGGCUUUAGCAUUUCGUUAAUCAAGAGCUUAUUUUACCUUUACCAAAACUAUAUCUUUUAAUUUCUAUUAAUUAUUCAUGUUGAUAAUUAAUGAAGAGCGAAUACAUAACUUACAACUAAUUGUAUGAAUAGAUACCAAUAGCAACAGAGUUCGAAUUGACCGGCUACCUAACAUGGCUAUGUCAACAAACGAAAUCAUUUGAAGCUGCGAGUUUUCAGGUCGUGUGUGGCUUUAAUGAAUAUUUGAAGGUAGUUUGGACACAAGUAUAGUUGGAAAAUAUGUUAAGAUUUUUUUAUAUUGAAUUUAUGAGACAGCAACACAAGAAUACACUGAUAACGCUAUAUCAGCUAGGCCUCAACCGUGGGCAGCUUUUUGUGCCCCGUAAAUCGAAAGUUUUUAUAAGAGAUGGAUCUGUAGCUCUCUGUUCCGUCACAAUAUUUUUUCAGAGAGCUACAGUUCUCCAGCAAGUAAUUUUCUAGUCCAUCCAUCUUAUCUGAUUAGAUCACCGGGUCACCUGAAUCAGCUCGAGACAGUGGACGGGCUGUAAUCGGCCAAUGAAAACUCUUGUUGUAUUACAUCAAACAUGUCAUUCAAACUGCAAUCGUCUCAUUCAAAUUGUGUCGUCACACAACGCAAUACUAUAUCGGGUAAAGCGUUCUAAUUCAAAGGUGAAUUGCGAUAAAAACUUAGAAAGUUGUAUGGGAAAGAAUAAUGUACCCAAAAAAGUACCCGCCUGCAGGAAAAUUUUUUUUAAAGUGCGGUUCCAAAUAGGGUACUGUUUCGGGUACCUUUUGGGUACAUUCCGGGUACUUUUUACGGUACCCAAUGUGUACCCCAAAAGUACCCAUAUGAUACCCGAAAAGUACCCCAAAGUGUACCCGGAAUGUACCUAUAUUUUCUGUAAGGGUCAGCACAGUAUGGUGCAAAACAUGAAAUAAAUUCUUAAUCUAACGAAGAUGUGUAUCAUUGUAACUAGUGGUAGUAAAUGUAUAGUGCUUGUCAUUGUGCGUAUUAUGUAAACAAGUGCAUGACUUAGCCAAAAUGUACACAGCUCUCCCCUUUUAAACAUGAUCGCUUUAUACUUUUCCCAUACUUGG